rnacentral:rRNA from 1 species
AACGUAGGAGACAAACGUUAUCCGGAGUUACUGGGCGUAAAGGGCGUGUAGGUGGUUUCGUAAGUCUGGCGUGAAAUAUCUCGGCUUAACCGAGGCAGGUCGUCGGAUACUGCGGAACUAGAGGACGGUAGAGGCGAGUGGAAUUCCCGGUGUAGUGGUGAAAUGCGUAGAGAUCGGGAGGAACACCAGUGGCGAAGGCGGCUCGCUGGGCCGGACCUGACGCUGAGACGCGAAGGCGUGGGGAGCGAACGGG